rnacentral:lncRNA from 1 species
CUUGAUGGGGAAGCAGAGGAUGUUGCGCGUGCGGAAGCCGGUGCUGUCGUCCACGCCGCGGUAGAAAAGCGGAUGGGCAUAUGCGUCAGGGAUGUUCAGGAUCUGGCCCGUGGUCGCCACGUGUCCCGCGAUGCCCUGAUCGGCCGGGAUGCGGAUCUCAUAGCUCUGCCGGAGCAGAGAUGGAGUCGAGAGGAAGAAGUUAGUGACCCGGCCACAGAGGGGACUGUUAAACCUCGGGCCGCUCCCCAGCGCCGCCGGCGGACUCCCGGACACCCCUAGGGCCACAUACUCCCUCCACACCCUCUCACCUCAUCAUCCACCACGCCCCCGUCGAACACCUUGGCCACCAGCUCAUUCUGAUCCAGCAGGAACACAGAGCAGCUGUGGAGGGAGGGGUUUGGUCCUCUGGGGCCUGACAACCCCCUCUGAUCGCCCUCACGUCCCAUAAGGAGGCAAAGGCCGGAUUUCCGAGGCCUGGGAGGAGUGCUCCAAGGCCCACCCAACUGUCAACACAGUUCCAUGCUGGUAGGUUCUGCAGCUCAGACCUAGGACUCCUGGAUCUCCACCCUACCCCAGCAGACCUCAGGCCCGGGCUCUGACACCUACCUAGUCCCAGGCUCUCUAGUGUCCACCUCCUGCAGGAGCUCCAGGCCCUGAAACCCAGCCUGUUUG